rnacentral:rRNA from 1 species
CUGGGGGACCUCUGCUGGUGAUGGGCUUUACGUUCUGAGCUGGUGGGGGUCGCAGUGGCCAGGGGGAAGCGACUGUUUACUGAAAACACAGGUCCGUGCGAAGUCGUAAGACGAUGUAUACGGACUGACGCCUGCCCGGUGCCGGAACGUUAAGGGGACCGCUUAGCCAGCUUCGGUUGGCGAAGGUGAGAACUUAAGCGCCGGUAAACGGCGGUGGUAACUAUAACCAUCCUAAGGUAGCGAAAUUCCUUGUCGGGUAAGUUCCGACCUGCACGAAUGGCGUAACGACUUCCCCGCUGUCUCAACCACAGACCCGGCGAAAUUGCACUACGAGUAAAGAUGCUCGUUUCGCGCAGCAGGUCGGAAAGACCCCGGGACCUUCACUACAGCUUGACAUUGGCGUUUGGAACGUCUUGUGUAGGAUAGGUGGGAGACUAGGAAGCUGUCACGCUAGUGAUGGUGGAGUCAUUGGUGAAAUACCACUCUGGUCGUUUUGAACGUCUAACUCUGGUCCGUGAUCCGGAUCGGGGACAGUGUCUGGUGGGUAGUUUAACUGGGGCGGUUGCCUCCUAAAGAGUAACGGAGGCGCCCAAAGGUUCCCUCAGCCUGGUUGGCAAUCAGGUGUUGAGUAUAAGUGCACAAGGGAGCUUGACUGUGAGACUGACAGGUCGAGCUGGAGCGAAAGCUGGGACUAGUGAUCCGGCAUCGGCGUGUGGAAGCGGUGUCGCUCAACGGCUAAAAGGUACCCCGGGGAUAACAGGCUGAUCUUCCCCAAGAGUCCAUAUCGACGGGAUGGUUUGGCACCUCGAUGUCGGCUCGUCGCAUCCUGGGGCUGGAGUAAGUCCCAAGGGUUGGGCUGUUCGCCCAUUAAAGCGGUACGCGAGCUGGGUUUAGAACGUCGCGAGACAGUUCGGUCCCUAUCCGCUGCGCGCGCAGGAGACUUGAAGGGGGCUGUCCCUAGUACGAGAGGACCGGGACGGACGAACCUCUGGUGUGCCAGUUGUACCGCCAGGUGCACGGCUGGUUGGCUACGUUCGGAAGGGAUAACCGCUGAAAGCAUCUAAGCGGGAAGCUCGCCUUGAGAUGAGGUCUCCCACCCCGUGAGGGGGUAAGGCUCCCGGUAGAUCACCGGGUUGGUAGGCCGGAGGUGGAAGCACGGUAACGUGUGGAGCUGACCGGUACUAAUAGGCCGAGGACUUG